UUUGAUCCUGGCUCAGGACGAACGCUGGCGGCGUGCUUAACACAUGCAAGUCGAACGAAGAGACAUGGGAGCUUGCUCCUAUGAAUCUUAGUGGCGAACGGGUGAGUAACGCGUAAUCAACCUGCCCUACAAUGGGGGACAACAGUUGGAAACGACUGCUAAUACCGCAUACGACCUACGGUUGGCAUCAAUCGUAGGUGAAAGGUGGCCUCUACAUGUAAGCUAUCGUUGUAGGAGGGGAUUGCGUCUGAUUAGCUAGUUGGUAGGGUAACGGCCUACCAAGGCGAUGAUGCAUAGCCGAGUCGAGAGACUGAUCGGCCACAUUGGGACUGAGACACGGCCCAAACUCCUACGGGAGGCAGCAGUAGGGAAUCUUCCACAAUGGACGCAAGUCUGAUGGAGCAACGCCGCGUGAGUGAUGAAGGUUUUCGGAUCGUAAAACUCUGUUAUUAGGGAAGAACAAAUGUGUAAGUAACUGUGCACAUCUUGACGGUACCUAAUCAGAAAGCCACGGCUAACUACGUGCCAGCCGCCGCGGUAA
rnacentral:rRNA from 1 species